UACGUAGGUGGCAAGCGUUGUCCGGAUUUACUGGGCGUAAAGAGCGCGCAGGCGGCCAAGUCAGUCGAAUGUGAAAGCCCCCCGGCUCAACUGGGGAGGGUCAUUCGAUACUGCUCGGCUCGAAGACAGGAGAGGGAAGUGGAAUUCCCGGUGUAGUGGUGAAAUGCGUAGAUAUCGGGAGGAACACCAGUGGCGAAGGCGACUUUCUGGCCUGUUCUUGACGCUGAGGCGCGAAAGCUAGGGGAGCAAACGGG
rnacentral:rRNA from 1 species